rnacentral:tRNA from 1 species
GCGCGGGUGGUGAAAUGGUAGACACGCCUGCCUUAGGAGCAGGUGCCGUAAAGGCAUGGAGGUUCAAGUCCUCUCCCGCGCA